rnacentral:rRNA from 1 species
UGGGGGAAUAUUGGGCAAUGGGCGCAAGCCUGACCCAGCAACGCCGCGUGAAGGAAGAAGGCUUUCGGGUUGUAAACUUCUUUUGUCAGGGACGAGUAGAAGACGGUACCUGACGAAUAAGCCACGGCUAACUACGUGCCAGCAGCCGCGGUAAUACGUAGGUGGCAAGCGUUGUCCGGAUUUACUGGGUGUAAAGGGCGUGUAGGCGGGCUGAUAAGUCAGAUGUGAAAUACCGGGGCUUAACCCCGGGGCUGCAUUUGAAACUGUCAGUCUUGAGUGUCGGAGAGGUAAGCGGAAUUCCUAGUGUAGCGGUGAAAUGCGUAGAUAUUAGGAGGAACACCAGUGGCGAAGGCGGCUUACUGGACGAUAACUGACGCUGAGGCGCGAAAGCGUGGGUAGCAAACAGGAUUAGAUACCCUGGUAGU